rnacentral:pre_miRNA from 1 species
CUGUUGGUGUACAUGUGCAUGUGGUUAAAGUGCAGGUUCUGACUCAGCAGGCCUGGGUUGGGGGCUGAGAUUUUGCAUUUCUAACCAGCUCUGAGGAGAUCCUGAU